rnacentral:lncRNA from 1 species
AGUCAACUUCCCGCUGGUGUUCGGCCUGCUAGGCUGGCGCGGCUAUAGGGACUCCGGUGGAGAUGGCAUGCGCUGCCGCGCGGUCCCCGGCCGACCAGGACAGGUUUAUUUGUAUCUACCCCGCUUAUUUAAAUAAUAAGAAGACCAUAGCUGAGGGGAGGCGGAUCCCCAUUAAUAAGAUCCUUAAAAUGUGAGAUUUGUUGAUAGUCUUACCAGAAAUGUUUGCAUGUUUUGACGCUCAGGAAUGAAUGCAAAGCCUCAAGUAGGCCAAGCAAGUUCCCUGUCACUAAGCGACACCCCAGCCCCUGCCGUGUAGUUUAAGUGCUCCAAGCAAGAGUUUCUUAGCAGGAGCACCGUUGACAGCGUUUGCUUCUUUUAAAGGCUGUAGAAAACCCCACGGCUACUGAGAUUCAGGAUGUAUGUUCAGCAGUUGGACUGAAUGC